GACGGGGGGUCCUAGCGUUGUCCGGAAUCAUUGGGCGUAAAGAGCGUGUAGGCGGCUCGAUUAGUCCGCUGUAAAAGUCCAGGGCUCAACCCUGGGAUGCCGGUGGAAACUGUCGGGCUAGAGUCCGGGAGAGGCGAGUGGAAUUCCUGGUGUAGCGGUGAAAUGCGCAGAUAUCAGGAGGAACACCAAUGGCGAAGGCAGCUCGCUGGAACGGUACUGACGCUGAGACGCGAAAGCGUGGGGAGCAAACAGG
rnacentral:rRNA from 1 species